rnacentral:rRNA from 1 species
CUACGUAGCUCAGAGUUUGAUCCUGGCUCAGGAUGAACGCUAGCUACAGGCUUAACACAUGCGAGUCGAGGGGUCUACUUCGGUAGACGACCGGCGCACGGGUGAGUAACGCGUAUCCAACCUGCCCUUCUCAUUGGGAUAGCCUUUCGAAAGAGAGAUUAAUACCGAAUAACAUAGUUUGAUUGCCUGAUUAUACUAUGAAAGCUCCGGCGGAGAAGGAUGGGGAUGCGUUCCAUUAGGUAGUAGGCGGGGUAACGGCCCACCUAGCCCACGAUGGAUAGGGGUUCUGAGAGGAAGGUCCCCCACACUGGAACUGAGACACGGUCCAG